GGGGGUGUACCGGCUUCGACGGGUCGGCGCGGAUUGGGGGAAGCAAGCGGCAGGGUCGGCUGCCUUAAAAACGUAAAUCAAUUUAAACGCUAACAACAAUCAAAAAGCGGUAAGCGCUCCCGCGCUUGCCCUUGCAGCUUAAUCUAUUAGCUGUCGCUCGACGCAAGUCUCUCGCUUGCUUGUAAUCGGGUGUCAAAAAAAGGCGGGGUACGUUCGCGCAACUCGUUUUCGGUCGCGUGAAUGAACGGAGAAAACUCGCGGCAUCGGAUUUUGUUCUUUGCAUCCGUUCCGCUAAACAAAGCAAUUGAACUAAGCUUGUAGAAGACUCGGUUUUAUCCGAUUCGGAAAGGGGUUCAACUCCCCUCACCUCCACCA
rnacentral:tmRNA from 1 species